GACGAACGCUGGCGGCGUGCUUAACACAUGCAAGUCGAACGGAAAGGCCUGCUUUCCCUUGUGGAUUGCGGGUACUCGAGUGGCGAACGGGUGAGUAACACGUGAGUGAUCUGCCCCCAACUUGGGUAUAAGCCUGGGAAACUGGGUCUAAUUCCCGAUAGGACUGCAGGGUGGUGCCUGUGGUGGAAAACGAUUUUCUAGUGGUUGGGGAUGAGCUCGCGGCCUAUCAGCUUGUUGGUGGGGUAAUGGCCUUCCAAGGCGGCGACGGGUAGCCGGCCUGAGGGGGUGGACGGCCACAUUGGGACUGAGAUACGGCCCAGACUCCUACGGGAGGCAGCAGUGGGGAAUAUUGCACAAUGGGCGGAAGCCUGAUGCAGCGACGCCGCGUGGGGGAUGACGGCCUUCGGGUUGUAAACUCCUUUCGACCGCGAGGAAGCCACCUGGUUGGAAGGGUGGUGACGGUAGUGGUAGAAGAAGCACCGGCUAACUACGUG
rnacentral:rRNA from 1 species